rnacentral:rRNA from 1 species
CAGCCGCCACGGUAAUACGAAGGGGGCUAGCGUUGUUCGGAAUUACUGGGCGUAAAGCGCACGUAGGCGGAUUGUUAAGUUAGGGGUGAAAUCCCAGGGCUCAACCCUGGAACUGCCUUUAAUACUGGCAAUCUCGAGUCCGAGAGAGGUGAGUGGAAUUCCGAGUGUAGAGGUGAAAUUCGUAGAUAUUCGGAGGAACACCAGUGGCGAAGGCGGCUCACUGGCUCGGUACUGACGCUGAGGUGCGAAAGCGUGGGGAGCAAACAGGAUUAGAUACCCCCGUAGUCCCUGUCUCUUAUAC